rnacentral:rRNA from 1 species
CAAAUACUCCAAAAAAUAGUCUCAGUUCAGAUUGCAGGCUGCAACUCGCCUGCAUGAAGUCGGAAUUGCUAGUAAUCGUAGGUCAGCAUACUACGGUGAAUACGUUCCCGGGCCUUGUACACACCGCCCGUCAAACCACGAGAGUUGGCAACACCCGAAGUCGGUAGUCUAACCGCAAGGAGGACGCCGCCGAAGGUGGGGUCGAUGAUUAGGGUUAAGUCGUAACAAGGUAAC